rnacentral:rRNA from 1 species
UCAAGAAACUUCCACAAUGGGCGAAAGCCUGAUGGAGCGACGUCGCGUGAUGGACGAAGUGCUUCGGCACGUAAACAUCUUUUUAUGUGGGAUGAAAUUAUUGACAGUACCACAUGAAUAAGGGGCUCCUAACUCUGUGCCAGCAGGAGCGGUAAUACAGAGGCCCCAAGCGUUAUCCGGAAUCACUGGGCGUAAAGGGUGUCGAGGCGGUUGUAUUAGUCGUUCGUAAAAUCUACGAGCUUAACUUGUAGGCGGCGAACGAAACGGUACGACUUGAGGUUUGGAGAGGUGCGUGGAACUCACGGUGUAGGGGUGAAAUCCGUUGAUAUCGUGGGGAACACCAAAGGCGAAGGCAGCGCACUGGCCAAAAUCUGACGCUCACACACGAAAGCUAGGGUAGCGAAGAGGAUUAGAUACCCACGUAGUCCCUGAGCGGGCUGGCAAGGCGCAU